UACCGUUUCAAUAUCUUCUUA
rnacentral:piRNA from 1 species